rnacentral:rRNA from 1 species
UACAGAGGGUGCAAGCGUUAAUCGGAAUUACUGGGCGUAAAGCGUGCGCAGGCGGUUAUGUAAGACAGAUGUGAAAUCCCCGGGCUCAACCUGGGAACUGCAUUUGUGACUGCAUAGCUAGAGUACGGUAGAGGGGGAUGGAAUUCCGCGUGUAGCAGUGAAAUGCGUAGAUAUGCGGAGGAACACCGAUGGCGAAGGCAAUCCCCUGGACCUGUACUGACGCUCAUGCAC